rnacentral:rRNA from 1 species
UACGUAGGCAGCAAGCGUUGUUCGGAAUUACUGGGCGUAAAGAGUGUGUAGGCGGUGCUCUAAGUUCGGUGUGAAAUCUCCCGGCUCAACUGGGAGGGUGCGCCGGAAACUGGAGUGCUGGAGCGCGGGAGAGGGAAGCGGAAUUCCUGGUGUAGCGGUGAAAUGCGUAGAUAUCAGGAGGAACACCGGCGGUGUAGACGGCUUUCUGGACCGUAGCUGACGCUGAGACACGAAAGCGUGGGUAGCAAACAGG